GAAGGCAAUUCCGUCCCCGUCCGCCUGCGGCACUUCAAGGGGAGGAGGAGGAGCCUGAGGGGCAGGAGGAGGAGCCUGAGAGGCAGCAGGAGGAGCCCGAGGGGGGGGCUGAGGUGGUCCACACUGUAGGGGACGAGCAGCUGCUGGAUGUGAAGCCCCCGGAGCCCCCGGGAGACCCUCUGGGCGACGGGGAGCUGGCGGAGGGCCAAGGCCAGAGGCACCGGCGACAGUUCGGGCGUCGCAGGCAGAGGAACUCUGACUCCUCCGCCGCAUCUAAAAAUGGAACAGAGAAAUCUGCCUCCGAGCCCAGCACGCCUCCGCCUGUCUCAAAGCCAUCAGUCCUCGCCACUCCUCCACCUGCCUCAAAGCCGUCGGACCUAAAGUCCUCGCCAAAGUCUCCCAAGUCCUCGCCAAAGUCCUCUCCCAAAACCACAAAAUCCCUUGAGUCGCCUGCCAAAACGGUUCCCACGGCAACGGAAUGACUCCGGGGAGAGACUCCAGCGUCGCGAUGCCCACGGAAAGAGGUGGGGGAACCGUGUUGGGUGCGUGCGAUCCUGAGUCCGGGGGUUAAUACGGCCGGUGCAAUAGGUCUCACCUUAGCCAUCGCUCAUUGAUGAUGUUGUUUUAACACAAAAACUUGUUUUGUAUGGAAUUUAUAUAUACAUUUUCUUUUUUACUGAAAAUGCAGGUGUGUACCUCUUCUGGUGGUCAGUGAGCCAUUUCCUUUAUUUAUUUUUUGUUUGGACGGUGUGGGCCUCGGCACUAAUCUCUGGCCUUGUGUCCGGCGCUACGGGCUGGGACUGGGUCCACCGCCACCGCACCUGUACCACUUUCCCCC
ensembl:lncRNA